GCCGAAAUAGCUCAGUUGGGAGAGCGUUAGACUGAAGAUGUAGAGGUCCCUGGUUCGAUCCCGGGUUUCGGCA
rnacentral:tRNA from 1 species